UGGUACUCGAGCGGCGAACGGGUGAGUAACACGUGAGUAAUCUGCCUCUGGCUUCGGGAUAGCCACCGGAAACGGUGAUUAAUACCGGAUACGACACGCUCUUGCAUGAGAUGUGUGUGGAAAGUUUUUUCGGCCAGGGAUGUGCUCGCGGCCUAUCAGCUUGUUGGUGGGGUAAUGGCCUACCAAGGCUUCGACGGGUAGCCGGCCUGAGAGGGUGACCGGCCACACUGGGACUGAGACACGGCCCAGACUCCUACGGGAGGCAGCAGUGGGGAAUAUUGGACAAUGGGCGGAAGCCUGAUCCAGCAACGCCGCGUGAGGGAUGACGGCCUUCGGGUUGUAAACCUCUUUCAGCACAGACGAAGCGCAAGUGACGGUAUGUGCAGAAGAAGGACCGGCCAACUACGUGCCAGCAGCCGCGGUAAUACGUAGGGUCCGAGCGUUGUCCGGAAUUAUUGGGCGUAAAGGGCUCGUAGGCGGUUUGUCGCGUCGGGAGUGAAAACACCGGGCUUAACUCGGUGCUUGCUUUCGAUACGGGCAGACUAGAGGCAUUCAGGGGAGAACGGAAUUCCUGGUGUAGCGGUGAAAUGCGCAGAUAUC
rnacentral:rRNA from 1 species